GACGAACGCUGGCGGCGUGCUUAACACAUGCAAGUCGAACGGUGAAGCGCCUUCCUUUUUGGUGGGUGUGGAUGAGUGGCGAACGGGUGAGUAACACGUGGGUAACCUGCCCCCUUCUUCUGGAUAACCGCAUGAAAGUGUGGCUAAUACGGGAUAUUCUGGGUCUGUCGCAUGAUGGGUCUGGGAAAGAUAUUGUUUCGGUGGGGGAUGGGCUCGCGGCCUAUCAGCUUGUUGGUGGGGUGAUGGCCUACCAAGGCGGUGACGGGUAGCCGGCCUGAGAGGGUGGACGGUCACACUGGGACUGAGACACGGCCCAGACUCCUACGGGAGGCAGCAGUGGGGAAUAUUGCACAAUGGGCGCAAGCCUGAUGCAGCGACGCCGCGUGAGGGAUGGAGGCCUUCGGGUUGUGAACCUCUUUCGCCAGUGAAGCAGGCCUGCCUCGUUUGUGAGUGGGUUGACGGUAGCUGGAUAAGAAGCGCCGGCUAACUACGUG
rnacentral:rRNA from 1 species